UAGCCGUAAACGAAUACUCGCUAGGUGUCGGCCACGGUGCGACCGUUGUCGGUGCCGUAGGGAAGCCGUGAAGCGAGCCACCUGGGAAGUACGGCCGCAAGGCUGAAACUUAAAGGAAUUGGCGGGGGAGCACAACAACGGGUGGAGCUUGCGGUUUAAAUUGGAUUCAACGCCGGAAAUCUUACCGGGACCGACAGCAACAUGAAGGCCAAGCUGAAGACUUUGCCGGAUUAGCUGAGAGGAGGUGCAUGGCGUAGUCGUGU
rnacentral:rRNA from 1 species